UUUGCCUCCAAUUAGUUCUCUUUUUUUUCAAUUGAAAGAACCUAGAUCUCAUCUCUCUACGGUCAAAAGUAACCUGGAACCCUUGAUUGUGAGACAAUGUGACCAUCGGUUUCUAAGGUUUUUGUAUUGAUUCUUGAAGGAGUCAUCGGAACUGGCGGCACUUGAAGCAUCCAAAGGAUUCGAGAGACGAUAAUGUUCCCUGUUUCAAAUCUUUUUGAGGUGCUCAGUUUUUCUGUCGACAAGGUGGUUGUGGCGUUUGAUUUAUAUGGUUAGGGUUUUCCAGAAUUGGGCUGACGGGAGAUCCGGGCACUCCAAAUAAGUGAGACAGGCAAGAGUAAGACAGCCAAAAAUAUCCUUUUUUGUACCUUUUUAUGUAUUAUUUUUAGUUCCCACUCACUUGAUAAUAAUGGAUUUAACUUUAUUUGUUAAUUUAAUUUUUUUAAUAGUGUCAUGAAGGAACCAACUUCGGGCGUACUACUGGUGGCCCGUUUAUUGCUACAAGCUAUGACUAUCAUGCUUCUCCUAAUGAAUUAACGCUAUUUAAAUAUCAACCAUUUACGUUUUCAUGAGUGUUUGUUGUUCUUAGCUAGCAUAUGUCUUUACUUUUGAGUUUCAAAGUGCUGUGAUAAAUUAAGCGAAUAGCCAGCCAUCAACUAACUACUACUUUCUUGGACAGUUAAUGAUGUUGUUGGAGAUGUGUAUUGUUUCAGUUAUGAUGAUUAAAUAAUGCAAUAUCAAAUCUAAUAAUUUUGAUAUGGUGUAAAAAGUUGAUAAAAAGGUUAGGGUUUAUGUUUUAGCUUUUCUUCUUCUUGGCUGUAGUCUCGAAGGGCCUAAGUUAUUGUUCUGCCUCAUCUCUCUUCUAAAUAUGUAUUUAAGUGCUGAAAACUAUUUGCCGCAUGUGAGCUACUUCCGUACCAGCUUGAAGGAUUGAAUUUCUUACGUUUCUCAUGGUCUAAAGUCUAAACAAACACAUGUGAUACUUGCAGACGAAAUGGGUCUUGGGAAACGAUACAAAGUAUUGCUUUUUUGGCAUCGUUGUCUAAAGAGAAUGUCUCCCCUCAUUUAGUAGCACCGCUUUCUACAUUAAGGAAUUGGGAACAUUAAUUUGCUAUAUGGGCUGCUAAUAUGAAUGUUUCGCAUCUUCUCCACACGAAGAAGAAACAACCUUCACUUUCAGACGUUAUUGCGGUAAUUAUAUUCCAGUUUUCUCUUCUUACUUCAUAUUGCAGUUUUAUUCGCUGUUAAAAAGUUGUGUUUUUCAAGCAAACAACAAAGAAAUAGGAUGUUUUGUUUACGGUGCUACAAUUUUGAAGAAUAUAACAACAGCUAUUUGAAGGUGAUGUGUGUUUUAUAUCCGUAUUUUUUAUUUUUAUUUUUUUGCCUAUGAAUAAAAAAUAAUCUGAUGUAUCAAGGAUUUGUGAUUUUUAAUGUGGAUUUUUUAUUAUAGUAGAUAUUGCAGUACUGACCAAAAGUACCGGUACCAAAAAUGCCAAAAAGUGGGUACGAAUCGGUACCGAAAAUAAUUUGGUACAGUACUGGUCUCAAGUACCAAAUGCCCAUCCUUACCUUCUAUAUAUUAGUAGGUUAUUUUUUUUGUAUUUUAAACGGGUCAAACAUAUUAUGUUUUAAAUGAUUUAACUAAAGAGAAUUGCUUUGAACAAAUCUAACUGGCUAGAUGAGUCAAGCUUGAUCAAACGGUUUGAAACUCAGCGGAAGUGUAUGUAAAUACACCAAAACCUAAAACGAAUCCUCAUUAAUGUUUAGAAUACAUUGUAAUAAUACAGAUUUUGUAUAACCAAAAAUGAUAAAUGAUGUGUUUGUGGUCCGACUACCCAACCCAUUUCAGCUCACACUAAUGAUUACCUGUGUUGACGCAUUGCCACCUCCACUAUAAAGUUUACAUAAUUUAUGUAUGAAUAGAGGCGUUCACACCUUAUUUUCAAAUUGUGAAACCAUCCAAGCCGUUUAUCAUGUCUAGCAACUGCAACAUCGUGUCCAGUAGCAUAUGCAACAAUGGCACAACAACGAGCAAAGCAGGUAGUCAUCCACUUUUUACAAGGAAUGUGGUUCUAUAUUACGCACCGGCUAGCUGAACAGGUCGAUAGGGUGCGCACCAGCUAGCUGGGGAGUUUGAUUGGCUUUUACCCUAUGUUCAGGAACCGCUUGAUCAUAUCCUGUUCAAGAUGGGUCUUUCUAAAAUCAAGAUUCAAGAGCUGAUCUCCAACUAAGAGAAUCAUCAAUGCAUUAAAAGAUUCGAGGGUCUUGCGUUUUCUAGAGCAUGGCGACUCCCAAUUGAAACAUCGGAUAUCCAUUCUCAACUGAAACAGGUGUGGAGAUUACUUCUAGCUGCUAUGAAGUUUUCAUUUGCUAAUGGCAUUGAAUUGCACGUGUUUUGUGAGCUGGAUAACUUGAAGAUAUUAUCUGUGAUGAUUUUGAACAUAGUGGUGAUCACAUUCAUGCUCUACGGUUAAUAAAGACCUGCACAAUCACAUUUUCUUCAGUCUCCUUGGUGACUGGGUUAGUAAUUUGAUCUCAACUGUUGCUCAAAAAUUGAUUUUGAAGUUUUGUAAUUUGAUAUUGAUAUGUUAAGAUAUGGAAAUGGAAAUGGCUGACAACGAUUCUAUCACUUGUAGCUACUUUCUUGAGUCUCCUUUUAACUAUAAUGUCC
rnacentral:lncRNA from 1 species